rfam:Trichobilharzia regenti genome assembly, scaffold: TRE_scaffold0000886
AUCCAGAUGACGAGUCCCAAAUUGGACGAAAUGUGCAUCUUGGAU